AAAUGGACAUUGAAUGUAUGGGACUUUACACAUUUUUCAGAUAUCUAUAUGUAUGUAAGAACACACUAAGCUAUACAUAUGAACAGUUGUUGUCAUUUUACAUAUUAUACCGCGCUACAAAGUGAUGACAAUGUAGUGAAUCAAAAUUUCUACACUCUACAUUCAACAUUAGCUGGAAGUAUUUCGUAAAAUUGACAAUGCAAUUACUCAGAUUUUUAAAUAUUUAGCACGCAAAAAUCACAAGAAAUAAGCAAAACAAAUCGAUAUUUGUUGAGCAAAAUUAAACAACGCCUCAGAGUGACGGAGAAAGUGGUGGCUACAAAUUCGCAAUGCAAGGUAGGACGCAAAGCAAUGACGAGCAAAAGGUCAAGCAUUCAAUGUUGUCUCGGGGGAAAUUACGCACAUGUUGGAACAACCAUUGCGUUUUAUAAUUUAAAACAACUGGAAAAUAAUGUAUUAUAUUUUACUUUUCUAUUGGCAGUGACCAUGACCUAGAGACGAGAGCCAUGGGAAAUGUGCCAAUUGGGAAAGCAAUAGCAUGGCGUAUACUCACUAAUAUUAUAUUGCAUGUUUGUACAAAUGUGUGAGGAAACACACAUAUGUACAUACAUAUAUAAUUUUAGACAUAUAUACAUUUAGCAUGUCGUGAGAAUUGCUAAGCAAUUAUUACAAUUUAUUAUAUUUUUAUGCAAAUUUGAAAAUUAAGUAAUUCAAUUUUUUUUUUACAUUUAUGAAAAUCAAAAUUUUAAUAAAUCGAAAUAUACACGUAUAAUAUAUACGUGUUUGAAUGUGGAUAAUCACAUAUGACGUGU